rnacentral:rRNA from 1 species
UACGUAGGCAGCGAGCGUUGUUCGGAAUUACUGGGCGUAAAGAGUGUGUAGGCGGUGCUCUAAGUUCGGUGUGAAAUUUCCCGGCUCAACCGGGAAGGGUCGACGGAUACUGGGCAUCUUGAGUAUGGCAGGGGAAGCUGGAAUUCCCGGUGUAGCGGUGAAAUGCGUAGAAUAUCGGGAGGAACACCAGUGGCGAAGGCGGGCUUCUGGGCCAUCACUGACGCUAAGACGCGAAAGUUAGGGGAGCAAACAGG